rnacentral:tRNA from 1 species
GUCUUCGUGGUGUAGUGGAGAGCACGCUGGUGUCAUGUUCCAUAGGUCCGUGGUUCGAAUCGCGGCGAAGGCA